GCCGAAAUGUGCGACCGCCGCUUUUUGGUGGCGCUGUUCCGCAGCUUCGCUGGCUCCCCCAAAGAAGGAGAUGCGACGUAAAAGGCGUAAGCGUUGCGAGGGAGGGGACGCGAAAUGCAGACAGCUAAAAUGGAUCUGCACUGCAUUCUGGGUCAGAAGCACUGAUGGUUUCAUUUCAUCCCUGCAAAUGUCGGGGUUUAAUAAAGAGCAGGAUCUGUGGCUCUCUGCUGGAGCCACACAGCUCUGCUUGUCCUCAUGUCAACCCUGAGCUCCGUGGACCGGAUCCCAGCCGGCAGCAGGGGGCUUCGGUUCAUCAUCAAAGGCAUGAAGGCUGCAGUUUAGCUUGUUAUAUAAACGAGCGCUGAGAUCUGGUGAACACAGCGGUGCACACGUGAAAGGCUGGAGAACGGCACAGGGAGACCCAGACUGGGGACCCAUUGUGGAUUUAGACAGCCGCAUGAAGGAUCCUCAAGUACCUACACUGGUUUAAGCUCAUUGCACUCCUUCAGAAACAAACUGAGGUUUCCUAUUCGCACCAGUCAUACAUCCAACCGCUCUAUGCAUAAAACCUUAUCAGUCAUUG